GAUGAACGCUGGCGGCGUGCCUAAUACAUGCAAGUCGAGCGAACAGAUGAUGAGCUUGCUCCUCUGACGUUAGCGGCGGACGGGUGAGUAACACGUGGAUAACCUACCUAUAUUUCUGGGAUAACUUCGUGAAACCGGAUCUAAUACUGUCUAAUAUAUUGAACCGCAUGGUUCAAUAGUGAAUGACGGUUUUUCUGUCUCUUAUAGAUGGAUCCGCGUCGCAUUAGCUAGUUGGUAAGGUAACGCCUUACCAAGGCGACGAUGCGUAGCCGACCUGAGAGGGUGAUCGGCCACACUGGAACUGAGACACGGUCCAGACUCCUACGGGAGGGAGCAGUAGGGAAUAUUCGGCAAUGGGCGAAAGCCUGACGGAGCAACGCCGCGUGAGUGAUGAAGGUCUUCGGAUCGUAAAACUCUGUUAUUAGGGAAGAAAAAAUGUGUAAGUAAAUAUGCACGUAUUGACGGUACCUAAUCAGAAAGCAACGGCUAACUACGUG
rnacentral:rRNA from 1 species